rnacentral:rRNA from 1 species
GUGAACGCUGGCGGUAGGCCUAACACAUGCCAGUCGCACGGCAGCACAGUAAGAGCUUGCUCUUACGGGUGGCGAGUGGCGGACGGGUGAGGAAUACAUCGGAAUCUACUUUUUCGUGGGGGAUAACGUAGGGAAACUUACGCUAAUACCGCAUACGACCUACGGGUGAAAGCAGGGGAUCUUCGGACCUUGCGCGAUUGAAUGAGCCGAUGUCGGAUUAGCUAGUUGGCGGGGUAAAGGCCCACCAAGGCGACGAUCCGUAGCUGGUCUGAGAGGAUGAUCAGCCACACAGGAACUGAGACACGGCCCAGACUCCUACGGGAGGCAGCAGUGGGGAAUAUUGGACAAUGGGCGCAAGCCUGAUCCAGCCAUACCGCGUGGGUGAAGAAGGCCUUCGGGUUGUAAAGCCCUUUUGUUGGGAAAGAAAAGCAGCAGGUUAAUACCCCGCUGUUCUGACGGUACCCAAAGAAUAAGCACCGGCUAACUUCGUG